rnacentral:rRNA from 1 species
UACGUAGGGCGCAAGCGUUGUCCGGAAUUAUUGGGCGUAAAGAGCUCGUAGGUGGCUUGUCACGUCGGGUGUGAAAGCUUGGGGCUUAACUCCAGGUCUGCAUCCGAUACGGGCUGGCUAGAGGUAGGCAGGGGAGAACGGAAUUCCAGGUGUAGCGGUGAAAUGCGUAGAUAUCUGGAGGAACACCGGUGGCGAAGGCGGCAUCCUGGACCGGCAUUGACGCUGAGGAGCGAAAGCCAGGGGAGCAAGCGGG